ACACAUCAAAGGAGGGACGACGGAGACUGAUUCCAGCUGUGAGGAACUACAGAAAGGCUCGAUUUUCUGGCUGUGAACUCUCAGCGAGUCACUGUGAAGUUGUGGCCUCAGCUCUGAAGUCCAACCCCUCCCAUCUGACAGAGUUGGAUCUGAGCAACAACUCCGUACAGGAUUCAGGAGUGAAGCAGCUGUGUGAUGGACUGAAGAGUCCAAACUGUAGACUGGAGACUCUGAGAUUGAGGGGCUGCAUUUUGUCCAAUAUCAGCUGUGAUUCUCUGGUCUCAGCUCUGAAGUCCAACCCCUCCCAUCUGAAACAUCUGGACCUGAGUAAAAACAACCUGCAGGACUCAGACGUGAAGCAGAUUCUUGAUCUUGUGAAGAGUCCAGACUGUAGACUGGAGACUCUGAAGUGGAAGUAAAGCUAAACAGGACGAUAUGUGAGCUGAGAGAGGAUGAGCUGAGUCCUGAUGAUCCAGAGGUUGAAUCAGCAGCAGCUUGUGUGUAGAGAGACUCUGAUUGGACCAUGUUACUGGGAGGUGGAGUCAAGAGGAGAGCUUCAUCCACAUGUUUCUCAUUUAACGUCAUCAACAGAGCUGAAAUCAAUCUAUUCUAACAGAACCAACAAAUAAAGUUGAAUUAUUCUGAUACAUUAAAAACAAAAUAUUCGAUGUAGAUGUAAAGUUCCAGCAUCAACAAUCCUUUCUGUUGUUUCUUGUUGCUGAAUGUGUAUAUAUUUGUCCCAUCUGUAUUGUAAUUUGUGUCAUGUGGUUGUCAUUUUACAGUGUAUCUUUAUUAUCAUGUGGUUGUUAAGUAAAAUCUGUCCUGGUUGUAGUUUUUA